AAACCAUGAUGAGGACACUUACGAAGAAGGUCCUUGAAUCGUUCAUGGGCUUCAAAGAGUGUCUCAGUAUCACCAUGUCGGAAAGACAAUAUCUCCUGCCUUAGUCU